AUGCGGUACUUCUUCGAAACCUUCAUAAUGCUUUUUGUCAUGCAACAACUUGCUAACAAGUCCUGGUCUGUUGCAGUUGAUUGCACAUGUGGAGGGCUUCUGGAUGCAUUUAUUGUCUCAUGUCACAAGGAUUUACAACUUUUACGAGAAUGCAGGUACAUCGAUAAGCACCCAAUGUUCAGACAGAUGAAGAGAGUGAAAAUAUAUUGGUGGAUCAGACAGAGUGGCGAUGCAGCUGGAAGUUUGAGGCACUGGAUUCCCCCUGACCGAGGAACAAUCAAGUUAAAUCUAGAUGCUUCAUUCUUUGCUCAGACUUGGAGGAGCUAUAUCGGGGCCAUCGCCGGGGAUUUUUUUUGGUGUUUCUUCUAUUUAUCCAAGAGCAUUGACAAAUGUAGUUCUGUGGAAGAGGCUGAGGCUCAGGCGAUGCUAGAUGGAUUGACAGCUCUGACAAUUAUGUACAACAAUGUCUGUUUCCCAACUUCAUGCGACAUUAAGACCAGCUCUUCUGUUCUUGUCCAAGUCCGGGCAGCAGAACCAGUAUACCAUCGCCCAUGCCCUUGGUGUGUGUGUGCCAGAACUAAAGAGAACAUACUCAAGAUUGCAGAUAUCCCAGCGGAGUUACAUGGGGCAGUUAAAUCUGAUUGUAAACAAGGUUCCUGA
rnacentral:rRNA from 1 species